UAAGGAAUAUUGCGCAAUGGGCGAAAGCCUGACGCAGCGACGCCGCGUGGGGGAUGAAGGUCUUCGGAUUGUAAACCCCUUUCGGGAGGGAAGAUGGAGCGAGCAAUCGUUCGGACGGUACCUCCAGAAGCAGCCACGGCUAACUUCGUGCCAGCAGCCGCGGUAAUACGAAGGUGGCAAGCGUUGUUCGGAUUUACUGGGCGUACAGGGAGCGUAGGCGGUUCGGUAAGCCCUCUGUGAAAUCUCCAGGCUUAACCUGGAACAGUCGGAGGGGACUGCCGGGCUAGAGGACGGGAGAGGAGCGCGGAAUUCCCGGUGUAGCGGUGAAAUGCGUAGAGAUCGGGAGGAAGGCCGGUGGCGAAGGCGGCGCUCUGGAACGUUUCUGACGCUGAGGCUCGAAAGCGUGGGGAGCAAACAGGAUUAGGAUACCCUGGUAGUCCACGCCUUAAACUAUGAAUACUAAGUGUC
rnacentral:rRNA from 1 species